rnacentral:rRNA from 1 species
UACGUAUGGUGCGAGCGUUAAUCGGAAUUACUGGGCGUAAAGCGUGCGCAGGCGGUUCGUGAUGUCUGAUGUGAAAGCCCCGGGCUCAACCUGGGAAUUGCAUUGGAAACUAGCGGGCUGGAGUGUGGCAGAGGGGGGUGGAAUUCCACGUGUAGCAGUGAAAUGCGUAGAGAUGUGGAGGAACACCGAUGGCGAAGGCAGCCCCCUGGGCUAACACUGACGCUCAUGCACGAAAGCGUGGGGAGCAAACAGG